rnacentral:rRNA from 1 species
UACGUAGGCAGCGAGCGUUGUUCGGAGUUACUGGGCGUAAAGAGUAUGUAGGCGGUCCUGCAAGUUUGGUGUGAAAUCUCCCGGCUCAACUGGGAGGGUGCGCCGAAAACUGCAGGGCUAGAGUGCGGGAGAGGAGAGCGGAAUUCCUGGUGUAGCGGUGAAAUGCGUAGAUAUCAGGAGGAACACCGGCGGUGUAGACGGCUCUCUGGACCGUGACUGACGCUGAGAUACGAAAGCGUGGGGAGCAAAC